GACGAACGCUGGCGGCGUGCUUAACACAUGCAAGUCGAACGGAAAGGCCCUGCUUUUGUGGGGUGCUCGAGUGGCGAACGGGUGAGUAACACGUGAGUAACCUGCCCUUGACUUUGGGAUAACUUCAGGAAACUGGGGCUAAUACCGGAUAGGAGCUCCUGCUGCAUGGUGGGGGUUGGAAAGUUUCGGCGGUUGGGGAUGGACUCGCGGGUUAUCAGCUUGUUGGUGGGGUAGUGGCUUACCAAGGCUUUGACGGGUAGCCGGCCUGAGAGGGUGACCGGCCACAUUGGGACUGAGAUACGGCCCAGACUCCAACGGGAGGCAGCAGUGGGGAAUAUUGCACAAUGGGCGGAAGCCUGAUGCAGCAACGCCGCGUGCGGGAUGACGGCCUUCGGGUUGUAAACCGCUUUCGCCUGUGACGAAGCGUGAGUGACGGUAAUGGGUAAAGAAGCACCGGCUAACUACGUG
rnacentral:rRNA from 1 species